UACAACUAAACGAAUGCGUCAGCUAAGACGACAUUAAAAAGUUGCCAAAGUUAAAGUAAAAACAUAAAAAAGUACCGUAAUAAAAAGCUGUAAUAUUGAGUUAAUACAUAUAAAAACACAAACAUUAUGUUGUAAUAUUGGUUACAAUUCUGUACAUGUUGUUUGUCGUUAAUAAAGCAUUAAAAAUAACAAAAAAAAAUAAAUACAUAAAAACACACACCAAUACUUUCUCACCUGUGAAAGGUUAUUCUAUUUCUUCGGGAAUUUAAAUCUUGGCGGUUUCACAACCAGAAGCUGCGUAAUGAACGACGGCGACACUGACCGUUCCAAGAUGGCGGGUGUGCCGACGUGUCUGGAGCCGUUGAAUGUGGAUUCUGCAUAUAGGCCUAUAUCUAUGCCUAAAUCCCCAGUAGCCCCAUCUUGCAAACCACCCAUAACACAAUAGCAACAAACAAACACCUCUCAGAACACAUUAUCAACCAUCCACACCUAGAAAUCACCUAGCAACAUGCUAAAACCAUCUCUGAACACUUUUAGCAUACCCUUAGCAAUCGUGAUGGCAAGUUCAGCAUGGUCAAGCAUUACUAAAAUCUAGUUGGUUGUAUAAAUAUUCGCCAGUGUUUUUGUCAGCUAAUAUGGAAAUUAAGUCCCAGUGUACCACUUUUGUGUAAAUAUUAAUUUAGCUCCCUUUUAAUGUUUCCUCUAGAAAACAGUAGAGCAGCACAACGACGGCUCCUUGCCAGCAUGCGUGGGAGGUUUCCAGGCAAUGCUCAUUAGGUUCAUGAGGUCUGUGCAUGUUCCCGCAGAAUGACAAAGCUGUUUUCUGUUCCAUAAGGAGCCGUAUCGGACCUCCGUACACAGUUUACUCUGCGGCGAUUUGUCAGCGUGGUGUUUGAAAGUCCAGUCAUGCAGUGAGAGGGAAAAUAGUGACUGAAAUGGACCCAGGAUAAAUCUUUAAGACGGUUUGCGUGAACAAUAUCCAUGUGUUUGACCGACUUCUUUCCAUACCUGUGAAAAAUACAAGCAACUCUCCACGUGCACAGACUAAAUAACAGCAUAAAUCAAAGCCUACGGUUGCGCCACAUGAUAACUUUCCAUCUAAUGAUGAAUCUGAAUGUUGAACCUUUCCAGAUGUAAGUCUGCUGACAAUCAAUUUUUUUUUUUUUUUUUUUUUUUUAAUCAGUCUUUCUUUUUUCUCACCACUGUAUUAAACUUUCAAAAUCAUUCUUUUGGGAAACCCACUCACUCCAAAACAAUUAAAAAUUUUCAUGAAAAUAUUUUUCUUUUUACACCAGCUGAGUGCCCAUGAGUUCCUCCAGAGGGCACUCCUUCUGACUUCUGUUGUUCUCCCAUUAAGAUCUACAUUCCCCACAAUCCUAUGCCUGCGGGCUCAUUAUGGUUUAAUCUCUCCCACCUGUUGAUCAUUUACUGGUUUCAGUUUGCCUAUUUAAGCUCUUGUGUUUUAGUCGUGGGCCAUGAGUCAUUGUUUGUAUUUAUUUCUCCGUUGGUGUACCUGGAUGUCUUGUUCCUUCCUUCAUGGUCUUUGGAUUAUGUUCCUCUUCGUGUGGACUAUUUGCCAGUUUCCAGGUUUGGAGUGUCUGUUUUUUUUGCCUUUUGUUAUUAAACUGCGUGUGCAUUUGGAUUCUCUCUCUGCCUCAUCUCUUCAAAUACAUUACAACAUUCAACUGUUCUGUUAACAAUUCUGUUAUUUGAUGUAUGUUUAAUAUAGAUCCAAUCAAGUUUAGCUGCACUAACCCUCCCCUCUGAAACUUUUGUCUAUGUACUGUUUUUUUUUUUUUUUUUUUUUUUUUUCUCUCUCUCUCUCCACACAUCUAUAAAAUCUUGCUGAACAAUAAUGCUUUUUAAGAGAGGAGCUGAUAUGAAAUCUGGUUCCUCAUUAUUUCUGUACAAUUCCAAUCAGCAUGACAAAUAAUUCAUCCAAGGUAAAACUUUUUAAAAUGUCUCCCAAUGUUCUGAAAAAAAUAGUUCUGUCUGUACCUCUAUUUGGAGCAUAAAUAUUUAUGAAAACAAAUAAUUAUGAAUUUCAGCUUUCACAAUCAGAAGACGUUCUUUCUCUAAUUUUAUUUUUAACAUCAAAAUAAGCUGAAAAUAGAAUAGCUACCCCUGCACUGACAUUCGUGCCAUGGCUUAAACACAUUUUCCCUUCCCACCACAAACUCAAGUCAGAUUCAUUUUUUGUCACUGAGUUUCUUGUAAUAUUACAUGAUUGUCUUUAAGCCUAAGAAAUUCAGAUAGUAAAGCUUGUUCUCCACCUUCCCUCAACCCAUUUAAAGAUCCUACUCUUAAAAUCUGCAUUGUAGAGGAGAGAAAAAAACAUAAAGGGACAUAACAGAAAAACAAAAAAUACAUAUAGAUCCCACACCCAUGUGCCUUUUAUUUUUUUUCGUUUUGACAUUUUUGCUUGAUUGUUUUGAGCUUUAUGUACAGCCGUUAGUUUUUUUUUUUUUUUUUCAGCCUAAAUUUUUUUUUUUUUUUUUUUUUUUUUUUGUGAUAAGACCCCAAAACACCAUAAAGAAAAAAAGGAAAAUUGAAACUUGAACAAAUUCAAGCAUACCACUCUCACACCCCACACCACACUCUCAUUUCCCAGCAUGCAACACAGCAAACUUUUUACUGCUAAUAUAUUAGCAAUUCACUACUGAUAAUAUAAACAAUACACUAUUGAUAACAUAAAAGAAAUAACAGUAUUGCUAAUGUUAGCAAUACGCCACUGUUAAUAAGCAAUACAGUAUUGCUAGCAAGAGAAAUUCACAAUUGCUAAUAUUAGCAAUGCUAAUAUAAAACACGUUGUGCAGUGUCAAAAUUGUAACUAUUUGUAACUUGAGAUGGGCUGUAACACCCAAAAUAUUCUUGCAACUAUAGAAAAGUAAAAUCAUUUUAGCAACCAUCUAUUUGAAAUUCUAUAUAGGAAUUUCUAGGAAUCACAUACGUAUAACACUCUAGCAACUAUCUGAGAAACAUAACUCAGAAUACCUUAGCAUCUAUCUAGCAACAUCCUAGCAACUACCCAUAAAACCCUAGCAAUGAUGGCGGUUAUUUUUGCAAGCACUCACAUUUUCUUAAGACAGGUUAUUACUCUACAAAUGUUCUCCUUAGAAUUCCUGCUCAGCACCCUCUCUCUCUGAACCCAUCAAUGCCUCUCUCCGUUCCUGUCUUCACCUGAUUUUGUCUGUCUCUCUCACUCUGAAUAUCUCUGUCACCUUCCCCUCUACCUGUCAGUCAUGCCUAACUUUUCACUUUUUUCUCUCUUUCUCAUGGCACAUUUCUUCUGAUUCAUCACUUCCACUUCUCUGCACAUUGAUUUUUGACCCUCCCUCCCUCCUUUUCGCAUCGGUUUAAUGCUAACCCUCAUUUCCUCACUCAUCCCAUCACUGUAAUCUCUUCCGAAGUACCCAGUAACUCCCAUCCCUUACAUCUUUCUUACUCAGAAGGUCAAUCCUGCACCUUCAGACCUGAAUUGCUCCCUCAGCCCCACCUUUACCUGUCUGAUGAGAAGCAGAACUUCACUUGUCCAGGCAUCUCAAAUCUGAUGUCUACUAGGGAUGUGCCUAAAGACAAAUAUGUUUGGAAAGGAAAUGACACAUUCUACAGAGCCCCUAAAGUGACACGGUCAGGGGAAAAAAUAUGAGAUGGGAGGAAAAAAUAUAUUUUGAUGCUUUUGCGUUCUCUUGCAAUUGAAUAGUUGGGUGAUUUUAUAUUGUUUAUAAUUUGCGGGCAUCAGAAAGUCAACAUCAAUAUGCGGGGGUAUUGAAAUCCAAUUCACAAUCACGCAUACUCCGUAUAUAGGGAGCGGAGGUAAUGGCCGCACAUUUUACAAGAUAAGAUAUUUGUCAAUGACUCUCAGGAUCUGUUGCGCA